GAAAAUAUUAUAUCUGACUCUGAUAAUGAUCAUAAAAUUGGUGAACCAGAAGCAGACAUAGAGCAGAGAUUUGACAAGAUGAAGAACAAGUAAUACCUAUUAUCUCUCUACUGGAAGAAAAAGAACUUACACCAUUGGCGUACGCAGCGGGGGGGGGCAGGGAGACAAAUUCCUCCCCCCCCUCCAAAGCCAAAAAAUGCAGAUGCCGGAUAUAUUUUUCAAAAAU